GGCAAGGUACUCAAGUCUGGUCCAAGAGGCAUGCCUUGAGAGCAUGUGUGCACCCGCACGCGAGGGUUCAAAUCCCUCUCUUGCCA
rnacentral:tRNA from 1 species